CGAUGUCGGCUCAACUUAUCCUCCUGGUGGAGAAGCUGGGAAGGGUUUGGCUGUUCGCCAAUUAAAAAGUUACGCGAGCUGGGUAAGUGAUUCAAAAUGAGCCCAGCUUAAGACAAUCUACGAGAAUAAAUAAGAGAUAAAAAAUAAACUGACUCAUAACGGUGAAGUCCGAAUGCUUGUCAUAGUAUAAUGAUGAGCAAUGGAUAAUAUCGUGGGAAGAUUGCAAUCUUCAUUUUCCGCGCAUCAGAUUGAUGUGCUUAUUGGGUCAUUGUUGGGUGAUGCGCGCUUAGAAUGCCGGUCAAUUGGAAUACGAUCUCCAGUGACGGCACGAUUUAGAGUGCAUCAUGGAUUGAAGCAAAAAGAAUAUGUAUUGUGGAAAUUCAAUGUCUUGAAAGAAAUUGUGAAUAAAGAACCAUCUGAAAUUUCAUGGGAUAACCCUAAAAGAGGUUUGCGUGAGAUUUCUUGGUACUUUCAUACUAAAAGUUUGAAAGAAUUAGGUUUUCUUUAUCAUUAUUUCUACAAAAAUGGGACAAAGAUAUUACCGCACGAUAUAUUUAGUUUUCUCAAUCCAAGAAUGAUCGCGAUUUGGUUUAUGGAUGACGGUUCUAAUACCAAGGAAAGUUUUACAUUGAGCACUCAUAGUUUUUCUAAAGUAGACCAUGAGCAAAUAGUAGAAUUUCUGAGAAAAUCAUUCAAAAUCAACGCGACAAUUGUAAAGGAUCGAACAAAGCUUAAGAUAAGUAUUGGAAGAUAUGAUUUCCAGAAAUUUAUUGCUAUUGUUGAGCCUCAUAUAAUCCCUUCAAUGAUUUAUAAGAUUGCUAAUCCCCGUAACGACUUGCUUGUUCACAGUUAAAUGAACGGCAGAGUGUCCGUAUAAGCGGAUGCUAAGACGUCAGUCCCGACAUUGGAAAAAUCGGGAAAGGUAUAGUCUGUCCUGUCAGUAAUGACAGAUUAAUUAAUGUCAGACCGUGAAGAAGUUGAAUAGAUCGACUUUUUCACAAUCUGAACCACUUCGAGUUUUUCGUCUAUAAACAAAUAAUUAGAUAGAAAGUCUGCCUCGCUCUUAAAAGGGUUAUGGCGGAUGAAUCAAUCAAAUCACGGCGGUCAAAACUAGGGUCUAGCCAAUAGGGUUUAGGGUCUAGGUUGAUUAAGCUGACUUAUAUCGGUGAAUUCCAAUCAGCUUUUAGCUUUUAGCUUAUAGCUUUUAGUUAAAAGAAGGAGGAGAAUACCGAGGGAAGAGUAGAAACUAUUAACAAGUAACAAAUAACCCUAACUGGAAUUUCUAGUUAUAGUUAAGAGUUAACAUUUAAAAGUUUUUAGCACACCCGUAGAGACUGAAUGUCAGCAGUCCUCCAUGUUGCAUGUUUUAUGCUUCAUGUUUUGUGACUAUGUUACAGUCCGAUCCCGCCGGUAACGGCGGUGUCCCUAGUGGCUAAACCCUAGUCGCUAGUGGCUACUAUUGCGUGAGACAGGUUGGUCUCCUAUCUACUGCAGGCGUUGAUUCUUGAGGGGAGUCGCGAAUAGUACGAGAGGACCUUUGUGAACGAACCUCUGGUCUGCCUGCUGUCCUGCCAAGGGCACCGCAGGGUAGCUAAGUUCGGAAGGGAUAACCUCUGAAAGCAUCUAAGAGGGAAGCCCACCCCAAGAUUAGGAAUCAUUGAGAUUCGUGAGAGAUGAUCACGUUGAUAGGCGCUAGGUGUAAGCACAGUAAUGUGUUGAGCCGAGGCGUACUAAUAAAUCAA
rnacentral:rRNA from 15 species